rnacentral:lncRNA from 1 species
GUAAUGUCACUUAAGGUCUCAAGGCUAUUUUAAAUGACAGAUUGGGUAACACACAAAUCCUCUUUUACACUUGUUUCAGGAGCCUCGUGUGAAACUCGGAAGACUCACGGGCUACCCUCCGAGCAUGAAUUUUCCUUCCUGGAUCUAAAGUGACAUCACAACUUACACCCUAAAGAAUGAGGUGCAGCUGCUAACAGGAGUGGAGGCUAAUUUCAACUUGCCUGUUCUGGUUUAAGCCUGUCAGAAAACAGACACAACAUUCAUCCUUUAAGAAUGAGCUUGAGAAUUCCUGGAGCAUAGGAAGAAAUCGGCCAUCUUUCUGCACUGCCCACCAUCCCUGCCGUAGCGCUGGACACACCGUGACCCUGCAUAAACCAGCGAGUUUAAAGCAAUCAAAGGCACAUAAGAAGUACAGAUUCAUGCAAGAAUUCAAAGCCAUCUACACAGAAAACCUGGAAUCUUUAUAGACAAUAAAUGGUAGAAACCGUUUUCCCCCUCAUCUUGCUCUUUUCUUCCCCCCCCCUUCCCUUUGUCUUGAGGUUAGGAAGGCAUGACUCAACAGUUCAACACACACACACACACACACACACACACACACACA